rnacentral:rRNA from 1 species
GACGAACGCUGGCGGCGUGCUUAACACAUGCAAGUCGAACGGAAAGGCCCUGCUUUUGUGGGGUGCUCGAGUGGCGAACGGGUGAGUAACACGUGAGUAACCUGCCCUUGACUUUGGGAUAACUUCAGGAAACUGGGGCUAAUACCGGAUAGGAGCUCCUGCUGCAUGGUGGGGGUUGGAACGUUUCGGCGGGUGGGGAUGGACUCGCGGCUUAUCAGCUUGUUGGUGGGGUAGUGGCUUACCAAGGCUGUGACGGGUAGCCGGCCUGAGAGGGUGACCGGCCACAUUGGGACUGAGAUACGGCCCAGACUCCUACGGGAGGCAGCAGUGGGGAAUAUUGCACAAUGGGCGGAAGCCUGAUGCAGCAACGCCGCGUGCGGGAUGACGGCCUUCGGGUUGUAAACCGCUUUCGCCUGUGACGAAGCGUGAGUGACGGUAAUGGGUAAAGAAGCACCGGCUAACUACGUG